UACAGAGGGGGCAAGCGUUGUUCGGAAUUACUGGGCGUAAAGGGCGCGUAGGCGGCCUUCUAAGUCGAACGUGAAAUCCCCGGGCUCAACCCGGGAACUGCGUCCGAUACUGGAAGGCUUGAAUCCGGGAGAGGGAUGCGGAAUUCCAGGUGUAGCGGUGAAAUGCGCAGAUAUCAGGAGGAACACCAGCGGCGAAGGCGGCGCUCUGGGCCGGAACUGACGCUGAGGAGCGAAAGCGUGGGUAGCAAACGGG
rnacentral:rRNA from 1 species